GAUGAAGAACGCAGCGAAAUGCGAUAAGUAAUGUGAAUUGCAGAAUUCAGUGAAUCAUCGAAUCUUUGAACGCACAUUGCGCCCGCCAGCACUCUGGCGGGCAUGCCUAUUCGAGCGUCAUUUCAACCAUCAGGCCCCCCCCGGGGGGCCUGUGCUGGGGCCCUGCGGCUGCCCGCAGGCCCUGAAAACCAGUGGCGGGCUCGCUAGUCACACCGAGCGCAGUAGCACAUCUCGCUCAGGGCGUGCGGCGGGCUCCUGCCGUGAAACCCCCCCACUGUAACCCAAAGGUUGACCUCGGAUCAGGUAGGAAUACCCGCUGAACUUAAGCAUAUCAAUAAGCGGAGGA
rnacentral:misc_RNA from 1 species